AAUCUUCAAAACCCUUUUUCUUUGGUCCAUUUUUUGGUCGGGAAAAGGAUUUUUGGACUUGGAGGUUCAAUGCUUGCCUCGAAAGCGAGCUCCUCUCAAAUGAAUUAGUGGGGUCCGCUUUGCUGAUCCUUGACGUGAUAAGAUGUUUCUACGUUUUGGGUUUAGCACUGUCCCUUGGAUGCCUGCUCCUAACUGUCUCAUGGACAAUGAUGGUGCUCUGGUCACCGCUGUCUACAUUGGCGGGAGGCUGGACCCACAAAAAGAAAA
rnacentral:misc_RNA from 2 species